rfam:Hordeum vulgare subsp. vulgare, WGS project CAJW01000000 data, contig: morex_contig_274359
GUAGUACUUCCUCUGUCCGAAAAUACUUAUCAUAGGAAUGGAUAUAACUAGAUGUAUUUUAGUUAUACAUUCAUUUAUUUGUAACCAUUUUUAUGACAAGUAAUUUCGAACGAAGGGAGUACUCA